AGAAUGAGUCAGGGCCCAGGACAUGAGAGGGAGAAAGGGGGACCCUGAGGACUUGGGCUCUGGUGUGAGGAUCCUGCACUCGGUGUCUGUGAGGGUGGGUGCAGAGGAGUCACAAGUUCAGCGCUACACCAACCUGAACUUCGCUUCCUGAGACCUAAGAUUCAGCCCCGUGCUCAGCAGACAUCAGGGAUCACCUACCGUGUGCCAGGAGCUGUUCUUGAUGCUGGCAACGCAGGGGUGGACAAAACAGAGAGAGCCCUGCCCUCGAGUGUGGUCAGAAGAGACAUGGAAGGAUUUGGAAGCUAAAGCUCAGAUCUAGGCC